UCUCUCGUUUGAUUUCAUCUGUUGCAUUUACCUGUCCUAUUCCAGGACUGAAUCUUUCUCCAACAAUCAUUAUGAUGAGGUACAGCAUCUCCUCUAUAAGAGUAUUAUUUUGUUGAACAACAUCCUUGUUAGUAUUUUCUGUGCUAAACCUUUUGCCAUAGUCUGGAGUACUAAAUAUCUGAUAAAGUUCAAAGCGACUCAGCAUUAUCAUCAGGAAGUGGUUUGGAUCCAUCAUCGACACACCUGUCUGAAGCAUUACUAUGUCCUUGUCAAACAUCUCUCUCCUGCACUUCACAUUAUGAUAGUAAUAAAUCUGAUUAACAAGAGAGAAGCCAUUUCUCCUCCAC
rnacentral:lncRNA from 1 species